GACGAACCGUGCGAACGUUGUUCGGAAUCACUGGGCUUAAAGGGCGCGUAGGCGGGCAGGCAAGUCAGGGGUGAAAGCCCCCAGCUCAACUGGGGAAGCGCCUUUGAUACUGCCGGUCUCGAGGGAGGUAGGGGCGUGCGGAACUUCCGGUGGAGCGGUGAAAUGCGUAGAUAUCGGAAGGAACACCGGUGGCGAAAGCGGCGCGCUGGACCUCUUCUGACGCUGAGGCGCGAAAGCCAGGGGAGCAAACAGG
rnacentral:rRNA from 1 species